rnacentral:snoRNA from 1 species
AUUGAAGGCAAUGAUGAUAAAUGCUAUAAUCCCAGCUCAUUAUGAGACCUCUUCAAGGUCUAGGAAUUUAUUCUACCCACUUUUAUCUGAGUGUAAU